UGAUUUUGGGAAGGCUUAAGAUAGCGGUAAAGAAAUAAGGGUAGUAUUCUGUGAUAUAAGUAAAGCGUUUGAUCGAGUCUGGCAUAAGGGACUGCUAUUUAAACUUCAACAAGCGGGCAUAUCGGGUUCUUUACUAAGGUGGUUUGAAAAUUAUCUUACAAAUAGAGUCCAGCGGGUGGUUAUUAACGGUUCAAGUUCCGAAUGGUUACCUGUAAAUGCAGGCGUCCCACAAGGGUCCAUUCUAGGCCCUCUCCUUUUUUGAUAUUUAUAAACGAUAUUGUAGAAGACAUUCAAGCUCAAAUUAAGCUAUUCGCAGAUGACACUUCAUUAUAUAUUAUGGUUGACAAUCCAAC
rnacentral:lncRNA from 1 species